UCCUACGGGAGGCAGCAGUCGGGAAUAUUGCGCAAUGGAGGAAACUCUGACGCAGUGACGCCGCGUAUAGGAAGAAGGUUUUCGGAUUGUAAACUAUUGUCGUUAGGGAAGAUACAAGACAGUACCUAAGGAGGAAGCCCCGGCUAACUACGUGCCAGCAGCCGCGGUAAUACGUAGGGGGCAAGCGUUAUCCGGAAUUACUGGGUGUAAAGGGAGCGUAGACGGUGAUGCAAGUCUGGAGUGAAAGGCGGGGGCCCAACCCCCGGUCGGCUCUGGCAACUGUAUGACUUGAGUGCAGG
rnacentral:rRNA from 1 species